rnacentral:rRNA from 1 species
AGAGUUUGAUCCUGGCUCAGGAUGAACGCUAGCUACAGGCUUAACACAUGCAAGUCGAGGGGCAGCAUGGUCUUAGCUUGCUAAGGCUGAUGGCGACCGGCGCACGGGUGAGUAACACGUAUCCAACCGUGCCGUNUACUCUUGGCCAGCCUUCUGAAAAGGAAGAUUAAUCCAGGAUGGGAUCAUGAGUUCACAUGUCCGCAUGAUUAAAGGUAUUUUCCGGUAGACGAUGGGGAUGCGUUCCAUUAGAUAGUAGGCGGGGUAACGGCCCACCUAGUCAACGAUGGAUAGGGGUUCUGAGAGGAAGGUCCCCCACAUUGGAACUGAGACACGGUCCAAACUCCUACGGGAGGCAGCA